CUUCUCUGCUCACAAGGCAGGAAGACGUUUCCUUAUUUGGUCUGUACCGGUCUGAACUGAGAAUCUGCUGACACACGAA